rnacentral:rRNA from 1 species
AUUGAACGCUGGCGGCAGGCAUAACACAUGCAAGUCGAGCGGGGUGAUGGUGCUUGCACUAUCACUUAGCGGCGGACGGGUGAGUAAUGCUUAGGAAUCUGCCUAUUAGUGGGGGACAACAUCUCGAAAGGGAUGCUAAUACCGCAUACGUCCUACGGGAGAAAGCAGGGGAUCACUUGUGACCUUGCGCUAAUAGAUGAGCCUAGGUCGGAUUAGCUAGUUGGUGGGGUAAAGGCCUACCAAGGCGACGAUCUGUAGCGGGUCUGAGAGGAGGAUCCGCCACACUGGGACUGAGACACGGCCCAGACUCCUACGGGAGGCAGCAGGGGGGAAUAUUGGACAAUGGGGGGAACCCUGAUCCAGCCAUGCCGCGUGUGUGAAGAAGGCCUUAUGGUUGUAAAGCACUUUAAGCGAGGAGGAGGCUCUUUUGGUUAAUACCCAAGAUGAGUGGACGUUACUCGCAGAAUAAGCACCGGCUAACUCUGUGCCAGCCGCCGCAGUAA